rnacentral:rRNA from 1 species
GACGAACGCUGGCGGCGUGCCUAAUACAUGCAAGUCGAGCGGGCCUCCGGAGGUGCUUGCACCUCCGGAAGGCCAGCGGCGGACGGGUGAGUAACACGUGGGCAACCAGCCUUUGAGGCCGGGAUAACACCGGGAAACCGGUGCUAAUACCGGAUACGUCCUCUUUCGCGCCUGCGAGAGGGGAGAAAGACGGUCUUUAAGGCCGUCGCUCAAAGAGGGGCCCGCGGCGCAUUAGCUGGUUGGUGGGGUAAGGGCCUACCAAGGCGACGAUGCGUUGCCGACCUGAGAGGGUGAGCGGCCACACUGGGACUGGGACACGGCCCAGACUCCUGCGGGAGGCAGCAGUAGGGAAUCAUCCGCAAUGGGCGAAAGCCUGACGGUGCAACGCCGCGUGAGUGAGGAAGGUUUUCGGAUCGUAAAGCUCUGUUGUGAGGGAAGAACAGCUUCCGGAGGAAAUGCCGGAGGUUUGCCGGUACCUCACCAGAAAGCCCCGGCUAACUACGUGCCAGCAGCCGCCGUAA